rnacentral:rRNA from 1 species
CCUACGGGGGGCAGCAGUGGGGGAUAUUGCACAAUGGGGGGAACCCUGAUGCAGCGACGCCGCGUGGGUGAAGAAGCGCCUCGGCGCGUAAAGCCCUGUCAGCAGGGAAGAAAAUGACGGUACCUGAAGAAGAAGCCCCGGCUAACUACGUGCCAGCAGCCGCGGUAAUACGUAGGGGGCAAGCGUUAUCCGGAUUUACUGGGUGUAAAGGGGGCGCAGACGGCGAUGCAAGCCAGGAGUGAAAGCCCGGGGCUCAACCCCGGGACUGCAUUUGGAACUGUAAGGCUAGAGGGUCGGAGAGGCAG